rnacentral:rRNA from 1 species
ACUUGUUCUUUAAAUGCGGACUAGUAUGAAUGGCACUACGAGGGUUAUACUGUCUCCUUUUUCUAAUCAGUGAAACUAAUUUUCCCGUGAAGAAGCGGGGAUAUAACUAUAAGACGAGAAGACCCUAUGGAGCUUUAAACAACCCAGCAAUUACUUCUAAAAUUGUAAAUUUCAGAAUAUUCAUUUCUUAAGUAAUAUGUCUGCAAGUUUUUGGUUGGGGUGACCAUGGAGAAUAACAUAACCUCCAUAUUGAAUGAAUUCCCUUCUAAGCUGAAAAUUACCAAUUGAAGCAUCAACAUACUGACAUCUAUUGACCCAAUAUAUUUGAUCAACGAACCAAGUUACCCUAGGGAUAACAGCGCAAUCCACUUCAAGAGCCCCUAUCGACAAGUGG